GCUGGGUGCGGUGGCUCACGCCUGUAAUCCCAGCAUUUUGGGAGGCUGGGGUGGGAGGAUCACCUGAGGUCAGGAGUUCAAGACCAGCCUGACCAACAUGGUGAAACCCCAUCUCUA
ensembl:misc_RNA Metazoa_SRP Metazoan signal recognition particle RNA